rnacentral:rRNA from 1 species
AUUGCACGCUGGCGGCAGGCCUAACACAUGCAAGUCGAACGAGCGGCGGACGGGUGAGUAAUGUCUGGGGAACUGCCCGAUGUAGGGGGAUAACUACUGGAAACGGUAGCUAAUACCGCAUACCAUCAGAUGUGCCCAGAUGGGAUUAGCUAGUAGGUGGGGUAAAGGCUCACCUAGGCGACGAUCCCUAGCUGGUCUGAGAGGAUGAUCAGCCACACUGGAACUGAGACACGGCCCAGACGCCUACGGGAGGCAGCAGUGGGGAAUAUUGCACAAUGGGCGCAAGCCUGAUGCAGCCAUGCCGCGUGUAUGAAGAAGGCCUUCGGGUUGUAAAGUACUUUCAGUGGGGAGGCGUUACCGACAGAAGAAGCACUGGCUAACUCCGUGCCAGCAGCCGCGGUAAUAC